rnacentral:rRNA from 1 species
GGUUAAGCGACUAAGCGUACACGGUGGAUGCCCUGGCAGUCAGAGGCGAUGAAGGGCGUGCUAAUCUGCGAUAAGCGCCGGUAAGGUGAUAUGAACCGUUAUAACCGGCGAUACCCGAAUGGGGAAACCCAGUGUGACUCGUCACACUAUCAUUAACUGAAUCCAUAGGUUAAUGAGGCGAACCGGGGGAACUGAAACAUCUAAGUACCCCGAGGAAAAGAAAUCAACCGAGAUUCCCCCAGUAGCGGCGAGCGAACGGGGAGGAGCCCAGAGCCUGAAUCAGCAUGUGUGUUAGUGGAAGCGUCUGGAAAGGCGCGCGAUACAGGGUGACAGCCCCGUACACAAAAGCGCAUGUGCUGUGAGCUCGAUGAGUAGGGCGGGACACGUGGUAUCCUGUCUGAAUAUGGGGGGACCAUCCUCCAAGGCUAAAUACUCCUGACUGACCGAUAGUGAACCAGUACCGUGAGGGAAAGGCGAAAAGAACCCCGGCGAGGGGAGUGAAAAAGAACCUGAAACCGUGUACGUACAAGCAGUGGGAGCACCCUUUGGGUGUGACUGCGUACCUUUUGUAUAAUGGGUCAGCGACUUAUAUUCUGUAGCAAGGUUAACCGAAUAGGGGAGCCGGAGGGAAACCGAGUCUUAAUUGGGCGUUAAGUUGCAGGGUAUAGACCCGAAACCCGGUGAUCUCAGCCAUGGGCAGGUUGAAGGUUGGGUAACACUAACUGGAGGACCGAACCGACUAAUGUUGAAAAAAUUAGCGGAUGACCUGUGGCUGGGGGUGAAAGGCCAAUCAAACCGGGAGAUAGCUGGUUCUCCCCGAAAGCUAUUUAGGUAGCGCCUCGUGAAUUCAUCUCCGGGGGUAGAGCACUGUUUCGGCUAGGGGGCCAUCCCGGCUUACCAACCCGAUGCAAACUGCGAAUACCGGAGAAUGUUAUCACGGGAGACACACGGCGGGUGCUAACGUCCGUCGUGAAGAGGGAAACAACCCAGACCGCCAGCUAAGGUCCCAAAGUCAUGGUUAAGUGGGAAACGAUGUGGGAAGGCCCAGACAGCCAGGAUGUUGGCUUAGAAGCAGCCAUCAUUUAAAGAAAGCGUAAUAGCUCACUGGUCGAGUCGGCCUGCGCGGAAGAUGUAACGGGGCUAAACCAUGCACCGAAGCUGCGGCAGCGACACUGUGUGUUGUUGGGUAGGGGAGCGUUCUGUAAGCCUGCGAAGGUGGCCUGUGAGGGUUGCUGGAGGUAUCAGAAGUGCGAAUGCUGACAUAAGUAACGAUAAAGCGGGUGAAAAGCCCGCUCGCCGGAAGACCAAGGGUUCCUGUCCAACGUUAAUCGGGGCAGGGUGAGUCGACCCCUAAGGCGAGGCCGAAAGGCGUAGUCGAUGGGAAACGGGUUAAUAUUCCCGUACUUGGUGUUACUGCGAAGGGGGACGGAGAAGGCUAUGUUGGCCGGGCGACGGUUGUCCCGGUUUAAGCGUGUAGGCUGGUUUUCCAGGCAAAUCCGGAAAAUCAAGGCUGAGGCGUGAUGACGAGGCACUACGGUGCUGAAGCAACAAAUGCCCUGCUUCCAGGAAAAGCCUCUAAGCAUCAGGUAACAUCAAAUCGUACCCCAAACCGACACAGGUGGUCAGGUAGAGAAUACCAAGGCGCUUGAGAGAACUCGGGUGAAGGAACUAGGCAAAAUGGUGCCGUAACUUCGGGAGAAGGCACGCUGACACGUAGGUGAAGUGAUUUACUCAUGGAGCUGAAGUCAGUCGAAGAUACCAGCUGGCUGCAACUGUUUAUUAAAAACACAGCACUGUGCAAACACGAAAGUGGACGUAUACGGUGUGACGCCUGCCCGGUGCCGGAAGGUUAAUUGAUGGGGUCAGCGCAAGCGAAGCUCCUGAUCGAAGCCCCGGUAAACGGCGGCCGUAACUAUAACGGUCCUAAGGUAGCGAAAUUCCUUGUCGGGUAAGUUCCGACCUGCACGAAUGGCGUAAUGAUGGCCAGGCUGUCUCCACCCGAGACUCAGUGAAAUUGAACUCGCUGUGAAGAUGCAGUGUACCCGCGGCAAGACGGAAAGACCCCGUGAACCUUUACUAUAGCUUGACACUGAACAUUGAGCCUUGAUGUGUAGGAUAGGUGGGAGGCUUUGAAGUGUGGACGCCAGUCUGCAUGGAGCCGACCUUGAAAUACCACCCUUUAAUGUUUGAUGUUCUAACGUGGACCCGUUACCCGGGUUGCGGACAGUGUCUGGUGGGUAGUUUGACUGGGGCGGUCUCCUCCUAAAGAGUAACGGAGGAGCACGAAGGUUGGCUAAUCUCGGUCGGACAUCAGGAGGUUAGUGCAAUGGCAUAAGCCAGCUUGACUGCGAGCGUGACGGCGCGAGCAGGUGCGAAAGCAGGUCAUAGUGAUCCGGUGGUUCUGAAUGGAAGGGCCAUCGCUCAACGGAUAAAAGGUACUCCGGGGAUAACAGGCUGAUACCGCCCAAGAGUUCAUAUCGACGGCGGUGUUUGGCACCUCGAUGUCGGCUCAUCACAUCCUGGGGCUGAAGUAGGUCCCAAGGGUAUGGCUGUUCGCCAUUUAAAGUGGUACGCGAGCUGGGUUUAGAACGUCGUGAGACAGUUCGGUCCCUAUCUCGCCGUGGGCGCUGGAGAACUGAGGGGGGCUGCUCCUAGUACGAGAGGACCGGAGUGGACGCAUCACUGGUGUUCGGGUUGUCAUGCCAAUGGCACUGCCCGGUAGCUAAAUGCGGAAGAGAUAAGUGCUGAAAGCAUCUAAGCACGAAACUUGCCCCGAGAUGAGUUCUCCCUGAGACUUAAAGUCUCCUGAAGGAACGUUGAAGACGACGACGUUGAUAGGCCGGGUGUGUAAGCGCAGCGAUGCGUUGAGCUAACCGGUACUAAUGAACCGUGAGGCUUAACCUU